GCGGGUGUAGUUUAAUGGUAAAAUCUCUUCCUUCCAAGAAGAUGACGAGGGUUCGAUUCCCUUCACCCGCU
rnacentral:tRNA from 3 species